UGAGCGAGUGGUGGCGUACAUGAAUGUACGUAUAGUGCAUAGAGCAGCAGCGGACCGCCGCACACGCAUGCCGACACACUCACGCCUGUUGUUGUCCAGUGUAGAAUUUCUUCCGUGUAGGAGAGAGAGAGAGAGAGCACACGCACCCGGUCCGGCGAUCGUCCGAGGCCUCACACGCACGCACAUCUGACAUCGGACUCGAAUCUGCUCGAGGGAUCUUCUUCGUCUUCCGGUGAAAGAAACUCUGUCGUUGUUAGCACCCGCUGCGUAUCGUGUCGUUGAUCUACAGCCAGGUGUAGCGCCUCCGCUACAGGGGAAGUUAUAGAAGCAGCGCUAAUUGUCUGUGUGAUUCGGAUUUCUCUCUCGCUCUCUCGGAGUUCGACAACAUCUGUGUGAAAUGUGGCGGAAGAUGAAGAAAUGAUGACCAUCUUUGCCAUCUUCGUCUGCCUCGAGCAUACAUUAUCAUAAGUGUGGGUGUGUAGUAAAGAAAUAGAGAGAUAAUACCGACAUCAUAACGCUGUUAUACGCGGCUGGACACGCAUAUAGACAUAGAACCCGAGCAGUAAUCCCAGUGGAUAUUUGACCUAAAAAAGAUUAAAGCGAAAACGCCGAGGACUAGUACCAGCACAGACGACAGGCAUGGGCCGCCGCUAUCUAGCGCCAGAGGGAUGUGCGGCUCGCUA